UUGACUGUUUUUACAAAGACAUUGCUUUUUGAAAUUUAUAGAAAGUAAUUUCUGCCCACUGUUUAGAUAAAUCAAGGGCUGCAGUAUUUUGACUGUAUAAAGGUAGCAUAAUCAUUAGUUUCUUAAUUAGGAACUGGUAUGAAUGGGGAAACAGAGGUUUAAUGUAUUUUUCUAAAAGAUUUGAAUUUUAUAGGCUUAUGAAAAAUUAAGGAUGAAAAAAAGGGACAAGAAGACCCUAAUUAAGUUUAAUUAGUUUUUUUAAGGAGCAUAAAGAAAUCAGUGUAAUUUAUGGGGAUGAUUUUAGCUGGGGCGGCGGGGUUUAAAAACAAAAUUUUUAUUUUUAUUUGUCUAAGGCGGAGUGUUGACCUAAGAUGGUUAAGCUAAUGAAAAAUUACUUUAGGGAUAACAGCGUUAUCAUUUCAAAAAGUUCUUAUUAACGAAAUGGUUUGCGACCUCGAUGUUGGAUUAAGAUUAUAAUUGGUGAAGUAGUCGAUGAAAUUUCGUCGCCGANGCNNCC
rnacentral:rRNA from 1 species